GUUUAAUAUGUUUAAUUGAAAUGUGCUAUUUUGAUAUAGAGUACAACAUUUUUUUUAUUAUAAAGACAUUUAUACAUAAUACUUAAAUGUAGGUAAAUGAAACUGGUUUAAUUUUUAAUGUGUUGAAAAUCUUUAAAUAAUCACGUCGGAAAAAGAUUGAUGGGCCGAACUCCACUCCAAUUUUACGUCUUUGAGUUUUAAGUUCU
rnacentral:lncRNA from 1 species